GAAAUGCGAUAAGUAAUGUGAAUUGCAGAAUUCAGUGAAUCAUCGAAUCUUUGAACGCACCUUGCGCUCCUUGGUAUUCCUUGGAGCAUGCCUGUUUGAGUAUCAUGAAAUCUUCAAAGUAAAUCUUUUGUUAACUCAAUUGGUUUCUACUUUCGUAUUGGAGGUCUUUGCAGCUUCACACCUGCUCCUCUUUGUUCAUUAGCUGGAUCUCAGUGUUAUGCUUGGUUCCACUCGGCGUGAUAAGUUAUCUAUCGCUGAGGACACUGUAAAAGGUGGCCAAGGUAAAUGCAGAUGAACCGCUUCUAAUAGUCCAUUGACUUGGACAAUACUUUUAUGAUCUGAUCUCAAAUCAGGUAGGACUACCCGCUGAACUUAAGC
rnacentral:misc_RNA from 1 species